CAGAGCUUCAGACAGCAGGAAGCAAGCGACCCUGCUUUAUGUCAAACUUUGGGAUCUCGGCCAUUAUCAUAGAGUGGUGUUCCCUGGCCUGCCAUAAGCAGUUCAGAAAGACUCUUCACUGGUGCCAUGGUGUUGUCUGAAUUAAUACUGUCUGGUGCUACAGAAUUGUCCUCCCAGCACUAGAAGACAAUUACCUUUGCAAUGCUAAUAUUAUGGAAGACUAAGAAAACUUCUACAUCCUGGAACCUAGGUCUGCAAGACACUGGAAAGAAGUUGGAGGGGGUUGUAGAGAUCAGAGAAAAUGUCCAGUCUGCCAUCUUGCUGUUCAUGUGACCAAGGACCUUUCAUUCUAUUGAGAGGAUGCUACAUGAAUUCAGAUCACCCUGUGAAGUUGGUGUUAUUAUUAUCCUCAUUUUCAACUGGUGAAGAAACUGAUGACUUGCUGAGUGUCAUACAAUAUUUUGAAAACUGCUUGGAAAUAAACUGUUCAGAGAGAGAAGACAAGCGAAUGAAAACAUCUGCCACCUGUGAAGGUCCUCAUCAGUCAUUUGCAGGCCUCCAGCUGACUGUCCCUAGAUUUGAACCCAACUAGAGGGUACAUGGUUCCAGAAGUACUAAAUACUCCCAAUAUGAGGUGAAAGUCUAGGCCCUGGCCUAGAUGUUUACUCCAACAUUGACUUAAAGAGGGUGAGCUAAGCAAGUUUUGUUACUUUUUAAUCUUCCUGAGGUUAGAUAAAGGAAAUGAUCUGUGUGCUGUAAAUUUCCAUUAGCCUCAUGGAUGAAAGCACUCACCUAUUUCUCCUAUGGGAAGACAAUUGUUAGAAAAGCAAGAAAACAACAAUA